UGAGAUGCUGUAAUAGAACCACUUAGA
rnacentral:piRNA from 1 species